GGGAGAAAAAAAAGUUCCAUUGGUGAUCACUUUCUUGCAGCUCUUAACCCCUCUCCCCGAUUUUGUCCCUCUCCUUUCCUGGCCUACCACUUCACUCUGACAUGACCCAGCCUGCCUCUGGGCCUCUCCCUUUAUAGCUGGGAGCAGAGAUCUCACUGAGCAUGUUCAGAUCACUCCAGCAGGCUCAGUAACAGAGCAAAGUUGCCAUCUGGGGAAAGCAGGAAGAGUUUGUCAUACUGAUCAAUAUUGCGCUGCUGGGAAUGCCCCAAAGAUCCUGGAACUGCUGAGACAUUUCUCCCAGACACGUGAGGAAGAGGCCAGAAAACACAUUGGUGAUCCCAGCGGCCAUGGCCUCAGCGGCUCCUGUACAGGGAAUCCAAGAGGAAACCAAGUGUCCCAUCUGCCUGGAGUAUCUAACGGACCCCGUGACCAUGGACUGUGGGCACAACUUCUGCCAGGGCUGCAUCAGUAACUACUGUGACAAAUGGGAAGAAUAUGGCCCCCUGGAGUGUCCCGUCUGCAGACACCGGAUCCGGAAAGGGAACCUCCGGCACAACUGGCAGCUGGGGAAUAUAGUAGGGAAAAUUCGACAACUGGAAUUAAAUCCUAGCAAAGAGAAUCUGUGUGAGACACACCAGGAGAACCUUGACCUGUUCUGCGAGGAGGAUGGGGAAGCCGUGUGUGUGGCUUGUUGGAGAUCCCCCCAGCACAGAUCUCACAGAGUGCUGCUCAUGGAAGAGGCUGCUCAGAAAUACAAGGUAGGAAACACUCUGAC